UAAUACCUGGAGCUGCUGACGGUACCUGCAGAAUAAGCACCGGCUAACUACGUGCCAGCAGCCGCGGUAAUACGUAGGGUGCAAGCGUUAAUCGGAAUUACUGGGCGUAAAGCGUGCGCAGGCGGUUCGGCAAGAAGGAUGUGAAAUCCCAGGGCUUAACCUUGGAACUGCAUUCUUAACUGCCGGGCUAGAGUAUGUCAGAGGGGGGUAGAAUUCCGCGUGUAGCAGUGAAAUGCGUAGAGAUGCGGAGGAAUACCGAUGGCGAAGGCAGCCCCCUGGGAUAAUACUGACGCUCAUGCACGAAAGCGUGGGGAGCAAACAGGAUUAGAUCCCCUGGUAGUCCACGCCCUAAACGAUGUCAACUAGCUGUUGGGGCCUUCGGCCUUCAGUAGCGCAGCUAACGCGU
rnacentral:rRNA from 1 species